UUCGGAGUAGCCAAGUGGUAAGGCAAUAGACUUUGACUCUAUGAUCGGUGGUUCGAGACCAUCCUCCGAAG
rfam:Bacillus phage BCP78, complete genome.